rnacentral:rRNA from 1 species
UACGUAGGUGGCAAGCGUUGUCCGGAUUUACUGGGUGUAAAGGGCGUGCAGCCGGAGAGACAAGUCAGAUGUGAAAUCCGCAGGCUCAACCUGCGAACUGCAUUUGAAACUGUUUCCCUUGAGUAUCGGAGAGGUCAUCGGAAUUCCUAGUGUAGCGGUGAAAUGCGUAGAUAUUAGGAAGAACACCAGUGGCGAAGGCAGCUCACUGGACUGCAACUGACACUGAGGCUCGAAAGUGUGGGUAUCAAACAGG